ACGGACUCUAGCAGUUCCUUUGUUUUCCAGUGAUGCUUUUUAUCCUCCAUCUGAUUUCAUGUCAUCUGUGUCUGUGACUGAGCAGGGCUCCCCCGUCUCCUGGCUCGCCCCGCCCAUGCACCUUUGGACGUGAGUCUGGAGAGCCUCUGAUUCCAUGUACAGAUUUGCAGGGCUGGCAUUUGCCUCUCACAUUGGUGCUCAGAGUGGCCGUGUGAAAAGAGGGCGGUCUGGCCGUGGGACUGACUUCCCAGAGCAACAGGGCAAGCUGGGAAGAGCAAGUCCGGCUCAAACGUGCUACUCUCCAGGAAUUGCCGAAACUUACACUGAAUGACACCCAAAUCCCUUCAUGGGCACCUCCGAUAACCACCUUGGUGGCCGUUUUUCAUACCCAUGGCUCAUUAGGGUUUCUGGGGCCAGGCCAAGAAAUUGCCAAAGACAAGACAAGCAACGCCUGCCUGGAAAUUCCGCAGAGCCCACUCCCCUCAGAGGCCCUUCCUGCAGCGUGAGUGAGGGGGUGAGUUGCGCUGAGCUAGAGCCGCGCCUGACAAGUGACACGCCUGAUGAGAGACGCGAUGACGAGUCCCUGGGGAGGCUGUGGAGUCUGGUUCCUGCAGACACUGUCUCCCCUGAGGCAGUCUCCGCGCUUGAGUGCUGAGUGUGUGGUGUGUGUGUGUGUGUAUGCACACACAUCUUGCUUCUCCAAAGAAGAUUCUCUGAGCUCCACAGCAAGCUUGACAGAGGCCCCCCGAACACUCCUGGGGUCCACGGACAUCAAGAACAGGCACGGCAGGCCGGGUGCGGUGGCUCACGCCUGUAAUCCCAGCACUUUGGGAGGCCGAGGCAAGCAGAUCACUUGAGGUCAGGAGUUCGAGACCAGCCUGGCCAACAUGGUGAAACCUGGUCUCUACUAAAAAUACAAAAAUUAGCUGGGCGUGGUGGUGGGUGCCUGUAAUCCCAGCUACUUGGGAGGCUGAGACACAAGAAUCACUUGAACCAGGGAGGCAGAGGUUGCAGUGAUCCGAGAUUGCGCAACUGCACUCUGGCCUGGGUGAUAGAGCGAAACUCCAUCUCAAAAAAAAAGAAAGAAAAGAAAAAAAAAGAAAAGAAAGAAGGAAAGAACAGGCAUGACAAGCCAGCCACAGCCUGCUGAGUUCAGGAGGUCCCUCAUGGAGUUGCCCUAUCCUCACCUCCCUGUUCCAAGCACAUACAGGGAUGGAUUGAUCCCCUUGGGAGCUGCUGAGCCCUGCCUGGUACAGCAAGGGAGGUAAGAUCCAGCCUGCAGGUGUGUGAUUCGCCUGACUCAGCCCAAACCCAGAUCAUGCCUGGACCAUCAGCCCUGUGCUGGGCACUGGGCCAUACAGAAAUGAAUAAAAUAGUCUCUCUCUUCAGAGUGCUUGCAAUCUAGGUACUGCAGACUAUGUAAGGGUCAUAUGUUCCAAAGAAGCCAAGGUCACAAGAAAAAUUUUUUUUUCCUAGCCCUCCUCUGAUAUUCCCACCCCCAAAAGCUUUCUGAAGGAUGUGGCAUGUGAUUUUGAAAAAUGCCUAGGCUGACAAAAGCCCACAGAGAUGGAACAAGAGGAGGAAUGUCUUCCAGCAGGGUCUUGUGGUUAAAGUGAAGAGUUCCCUUUGGGGGAAGUGGAUGUAAUGAAUGUGGAAGAUGACAAAGAACCAAAGAAGCUCAAGGCAGGACUGUAUGUCAAGUAUUUGGUCCCCUGGGUUCCCCUCCAGACACCAACAAGCAGCCACCAUCUUUUUCUUCAUGCUCUGCAGGGAGUGUUACAAAGUCAUACAUGGUCCCCUUCUUAGAUGGAUCUGAAUGUCUUAGAGUUCCUACCUGUACUGAGCCAAAAGGUGCAGCUCUCUUGCUAUUCACCCUGGGGCCUGCAAAAACAAGGCUCAUUUCUCUUCCACCAAUGACCCUUCAAAUAUUUGAAAUAACUGUGUUUUGCUUUUCUACUCCUGCCUAAGAAGUACCACCAAAACUUAAUGGUUUAAAACAACAGUGUGAUUAUAGCUCACUGCAGCCUCCAAUUCCUGUGCUCAAGUGGUCCUCCCACCUCAGCCUCCCAAGUAGAUGGGACUACAGGCAUGAGCCACCACACUCAGCUUAACAAUUGAUUCUUUUUCUCACAAUUCUACAGGGUCAGUUUGGCUCAGCUGGAUGGUUCUUCUGUUCCACGUGGCAGCUGGAGCCAUGCAACUGCAGUCAGCUAGGAGUUUGACAGAGUAUGGGGCAUCCCAGAUGGCCUCAUUCACAUUUUUGGCAGUUGGUGUUACCUAUUGACUGAGUUGCUCGUGUUCUCUUCCCCUCGGCCUCUCUCUUCAGUAGCGUAGCCCAGGCUUUUUACAUGGCAGUUCUAUUCGAGAAAGCAAAGACAGAUGCUGCCAGGUCUCUUAAGUCCUAGACUCAGAAGUCACAUGGGAACACUUCCAUUGCAUUCUCUUGGCCAGAC
rnacentral:lncRNA from 1 species